rnacentral:rRNA from 1 species
AGUGAACGCUGGCGGUAGGCCUAACACAUGCAAGUCGAACGGCAGCACAGUAAGAGCUUGCUCUUACGGGUGGCGAGUGGCGGACGGGUGAGGAAUACAUCGGAAUCUACUUUUUCGUGGGGGAUAACGUAGGGAAACUUGCGCUAAUACCGCAUACGACCUACGGGUGAAAGCAGGGGAUCUUCGGACCUUGCGCGAUUGAAUGAGCCGAUGUCGGAUUAGCUAGUUGGCGGGGUAAAGGCCCACCAAGGCGACGAUCCGUAGCUGGUCUGAGAGGAUGACCAGCCACACUGGAACUGAGACACGGUCCAGACUCCUACGGGAGGCAGCAGUGGGGAAUAUUGGACAAUGGGCGCAAGCCUGAUCCAGCCAUACCGCGUGGGUGAAGAAGGCCUUCGGGUUGUAAAGCCCUUUUGUUGGGAAAGAAAAGCAGCAGGUUAAUACCCCGCUGUUCUGACGGUACCCAAAGAAUAAGCACCGGCUAACUUCGUG